UUCCACUAUAAUACUCCCUAC
rnacentral:piRNA from 1 species